GACGAACGCUGGCGGCGUGCCUAAUACAUGCAAGUCGAACGAGAGCGACCGGUGCUUGCACUGGUCAAUCUAGUGGCGAACGGGUGAGUAACACGUGGGUAACCUGCCCAUCAGAGGGGGAUAACAUCCGGAAACGGAUGCUAAAACCGCAUAGGUCUUCGAGCCGCAUGGCUUGAAGAGGAAAAGAGGCGCAAGCUUCUGCUGAUGGAUGGACCCGCGGUGCAUUAGCUAGUUGGUGAGGUAACGGCUCACCAAGGCCGUGAUGCAUAGCCGACCUGAGAGGGUGAUCGGCCACAUUGGGACUGAGACACGGCCCAGACUCCUACGGGAGGCAGCAGUAGGGAAUCUUCCGCAACGGACGCAAGUCUGACGGAGCAACGCCGCGUGAGUGAAGAAGGUUUUCGGAUCGUAAAACUCUGUUGUUAGAGAAGAACAAGUGCUAGAGUAACUGUUAGCGCCUUGACGGUAUCUAACCAGAAAGCCACGGCUAACUACGUG
rnacentral:rRNA from 1 species